rnacentral:rRNA from 1 species
UACGGAGGGAGCUAGCGUUGUUCGGAAUUACUGGGCGUAAAGCGCACGUAGGCGGUUUUUCAAGUCAGAGGUGAAAGCCCGGGGCUCAACCCCGGAACGGCCUUUGAAACUAGGAGACUUGAAUCUUGGAGAGGUCAGUGGAAUUCCGAGUGUAGAGGUGAAAUUCGUAGAUAUUCGGAAGAACACCAGUGGCGAAGGCGACUGACUGGACAAGUAUUGACGCUGAGGUGCGAAAGCGUGGGGAGCAAACAGG